rnacentral:lncRNA from 1 species
AUUAGGGCUGGGCAAAUCUCCCGAACCGAACCGACCGAACCGAACCCGAACCGAACCGAUCCGAACCCGACGGUUCUUGUCAAAUUAAAUACCCGAACGGGUAUCUGAAUUGAGAACCGACGGGUACGGUUCGGUUCUCGGUUCUAGACCAAGAACCGAAGAACCGAAUAAGAACCGAAUCUUUCUAAUUUUCUUUUAUAUUGAGUAAAUCAAAUUAUUUUAAUUUUAAUUUUUUCUAAAUAAAUUAACAAAUUAAUGAUUUCUAAAUCCAAAUUUUUGGCCCAAUAAUUUGUUUCAUUUCUAAUUUUUUAAUUUUUGGCCCAAUUACCCAUUUUAUUGUUUCAUUUCUUAGCCAAACAAGAUCAAAUCCACUAAAUAACCCUAAACACCUACAAUAAAGUGCAUAACGUUGUCUCGACUCUCGCACUCACUCUCGCAGUCUAUCUAAUAUUCCAAAACUUAUACAAUCGUCGGCCGACACUCUGACCUCCGAUCGAAGCCGUGACUUUCCCCGACUGAAGCUUUGAUCGUAGCGAUCAUUUGAACAAGGUAGUUUACUAAUCUCUGACAUUCCAAAACUAUUGAAUGUAUCAUUAGUCGUAUUUAUAUAACGUUGUUAUAAAUGUUAAAAAAUUUAAUUAUAGUAUAGAACCGAACGGAACCGAACCGAUCCGAACCGAACCCGAAAUGUUCUAUAAUUAUAUUUGGACCCGACGGUUCCAUUUACUAGAUACCCGAAAAGUUUGGUUCGGUUCGGUUCUAAAGAGAACCGAACCGAACCGACCCGCGCCCACCCC